rnacentral:rRNA from 1 species
GAGUUUGAUCCUGGCUCAGGAUAAACGCUGGCGGCGCACAUAAGACAUGCAAGUCGAACGAACUUAACCCUUUGUUUACAUUGGGAGCGGUUAGUGGCGGACUGGUGAGUAACACGUAAGCAACCUGCCUAUUAGAGGGGAAUAACAGUGAGAAAUCAUUGCUAAUACCGCAUAUGCUCACAGUAUCACAUGAUACAGUGAGGAAAGGAGCAAUCCGCUAAUAGAUGGGCUUGCGUCUGAUUAGCUAGUUGGUGGGGUAACGGCCUACCAAGGCGACGAUCAGUAGCCGGACUGAGAGGUUGAACGGCCACAUUGGGACUGAGAUACGGCCCAGACUCCUACGGGAGGCAGCAGUCGGGAAUAUAGCGCAAUGGAGGAAACUCUGACGCAGUGACGCCGCGUAAAGGAGAAGGUUUUCGGAUUGUAAACUAUUGUC